UUGGACACUCGCCCGCUGGCCAGGGAUCUAACCGGCGCUGCAGAGGCUGCGGGCAGCUUCGCAACCCAGCACUCAACCACUGCGCCACAGGGGAAGCCCGGUUAUGUGUUUUUGAAGGCAAGUAUUAUUGGGAAAUUAUUUCAGAAAUGAAUCUAGGGAGAGAGAUUUGAGAAACAUCCCCUGUUUCUAGGGAGGAGGAGCUUGCUCUGGUCAGACUCAACCAAUGUCAAUGUAUUCUUAAAGAUAGCCACUAAAGAACAGAGCUUCAUCAUAUGACAUUAUCCAGUCAUUGUUUUAUUUGCUUACCCUUUAAUCUACUUAUUUGUCAAAUAGUUCUAAGUAUAAAACUGAUUUUGGCAAUGUUUUGAAAUCAUUUGUUAACAUUUUCUUACCUGACCCAAUGCCAUCCCAUAUAAUGCCAUUGCAUAGUUUUGUUUUGUUUCAACAAAGACUAAUAGUCCCCCAGAUGCAAUUUCUUAAUCUUUUCUUCUUUCGGAGAAAAGCUCCUUUUACUUUACUCUAUAAAUCAAGAGUAACUGUAUACCCUUUAUCUAUUGACAUACACCCAAAUCACUCUACUGAUCAUGUCUUUUUCAAGGAAAGUUACUGCAACAUCCAUCAUUUGAACAAUAACGUCUGAGAACAUCUAACUUCUGACCAAGAGUGUUAGAUGAUUCCAUACGUUAUGGAUUAGAGAGAGCAAGCAACUUGCCCAAGGUCACACAGUUAGAGAAUUCAUGCUGGAAUACUAAUCAAGAUCUUCGAACUUCAAAGCUUGUUCUCUUAACCACACCUUUGUUGCUUUAUUUCUUUUACUGUAUUGUGAGCUUAUGUUAAAAUCUGCUUUAUUCAUCUUAUAUCUGUAUUUGACUAUCUUCUUAUGAGUCUUAUGAAAAUUGCUUCUGAAUAUUUUUUAGAAUAUAUAUUCACAAGAUUUUUUUUUUCUUUUUAUGAACUACUGUGUCCAACUAUAACAUGGCUGGAAGACCCAUUUGACUAUUCAGCAUACUGAGAGACAUGACCUGUGAAUGAAGACUCAGAGCCCUCGGAGGCCAAUGGUUCUGGCAGGUCUCAUGGCAUCUACGUGAACAGAUGGUCUCCAACACCUUCUGAGUCAGCGAGCACCA